AUCAUCUGGGGAGGCAAAAGCGACCCUAAACCGCGCCGCAGCACUGAGAAACCCGAGGGGAGCAGGAGCAGGCGGACCCCGCGCCCCCCUCCCGUUCCCUGCCCGGCGGGACUCGGCUGCCGCCGGAGCUCUUCGAUGAAACUUCUGCUCGCAUCAUCUAAGGCCUGAAAAUGAUACAGCUUAUUAAUAAAAGCUGUAGAAAUGCAGUUACAUAUGAGAACAGGCUCUGCCUGAGCUCCGGACACCCUCGAGGGCUCUCCAAGCAGUACCGUAGCAUGGAGUUGCCACUCAACAUCUCCCUCUUCACCUGCUGACUGCAGGGACUUCUCUCCGUAAUUUUGGGCUGGUUCAGCUUUAUUCAGCUCAAGGUAACAUCGGCCAAUUUCAUGGAACAGCCAGGUCUUCUCCAGGCUCGACUUUGCCAUUGGAAUCUUCUCUUCCCAGCUUCAAGCAGAGAGUAAGAAAGGCAGACGCUUACUGAAUCACUAGGUGCAGUUAUAGUUUCAACCACUGAUUCUAUUGAACCACUGAAACAAAGCGGUCCAGGUACUGUUGUUAUGAAAAAUUUCCCAGCCCCGCCCUUGCUAGCAGCAUGAAUAACCAAACCGUAAAGACCUCAUCUAUUUAAAUCGAAACACCCCUUAUGCCUUUUCUGUUACUACUUUUACAUACGUGUCAAUAGCUUGCUGGAAUUUGCCCAUUCUGGCAUAAACUCUGCCAAUGUUAUCGAGGGCCCGGGAUACGGUGUCCGGCAGGUCGCUGCAUUGAAAAGAAAAAGAACUCAUAGUAGCUGACAUAGUCUUGUUCCCGAUACAGUCUACGCUUCCUUCAGCUUUAUAGAUUUUCUUUGGCGUUCCACUUGACUUCAGGCUUGAGAAUUAGAGGAAAAGGACCAAUUUCAGACUGGAAGUCAUAAAAUCAAGGUAGAUUUCUGGUUUUAUUUACAGCUGUUGCAACUGUAAGACACGGGAAAAAGGGUUUCGUUUAUCUUUGAUUUUUUGUGUGCGUGUGCAAAUCUGGCAGCCCUUGUGAAAGGCUUUCCAUUUUUCUUCAAUUUCCCUUUGUUGCGUUGUGGGUCACGCAGAAGUCCCCUACAGCUCCUAGGUCCCUAAGAGUAAUAGAUGAUUUCUGUCCAAGAGGAAUGCAAAGACCCAAAAAAGCCGCGUCUGCGAUGUGUCUACAGACUCCUACAGCAGACCCCGGUAGCAGGCCCUGCGCCCAGUGCUGUGACGAGUCUUUGCCCCACGCUAGAGGCAACUCCUUCUGAAAUUAUGUAGCCUGUGGACUUUUUGUCCUUAAUUAGGCCUCAUUCCCACCUUCAGAAGCGGCUUGCUUUGACUACCCUUUCCUUACAAAUGAAAAAGCUGAUGAAAGGAGAGGCUAAGCGGCACAAGUCAUUACACCGUCUCCUCUCGCCCUGCUGAUCGCCCGCCACCAGAGGACAAGGCCCCCGCCAUCGCUGCGUGUCCGCCCUUUGAACGCAACUUCAUGUCCCUGUAAGAAAGCACUAAAACUUGUGCCUCGUUCCUGCCUCUCUACUGCUGUUUUGGCGUAGGUGGGGAGUGGGGCUCACCAGGAGAGAGGCAGAAAUUACUUAAACCAAUACUAAUUUUUAGAAGAGAUUUGUGAAAACGAUAAACAAUUAGUCAGUUACAUUCUAAAAGGCCUAUGUAGUAUUGGCAAAAAUAAACCCAAAAUCACUUCAAUUCAAGCAACUAUUCAGUGUUUUCUCACAUGCUUUGCAAAACUCUUACUAAAUCUUAAAACUACAUUUUGCUUCAUUCUGGUUUAGCUGAAAGAGCUGCAGGAUGAGUUCUGUACAGGCAGGUAACUGUUCCUCUUAGCUACAGAUUUCAAGCCUGCUGUCAUGGUUUGAAUGCAAAUUAUUUUAAGAGAGAGUGUAGCAGAAAACGUGUGCAAUUUAGAGCCUGACCUUCUCGAGAAGUAAGGGUGUACUAGGGGCUAAAGUGCUGAGACUGGGACUUGCAUGCUCCUGCUUUGCUUCAGCAGAGAUUUAGCUGUGCCAUGUGCUCUAGGCCCUUUAAAAAUCUGCUUCAGGCUCCUUAUUUUUGAAAAAGGGAAGACAGUAAGUCACUAGAGGCCACGACGCUUGGGCAGAGUCUGAAUGCGUUGCCCUGUUAAAUCUCCAGGUGAGAAUUACAACGUUACCUGGUGCUAAAACACCUUAACAGAGGUACUUUCCUCUUUUCCGCAUCCAUCUGAACAUCUCAGCACUUACUUCUGCCUGGCAAAUUCCAGAUCCAUUUUAUGGCUUUGCAGAGCUGCCUCCAUCUGGCCCAUCUCUAACUGAGCAUUCCCAAUGCAGCUGUGGAGGUUUCCAAUCAGUUGAUUCUUGUUGGGAACUUCAUCAUCUGACCACCCUUGUAUUGUUUUUAGCACUCGCUCAGCUUUCUUGCAGCUUUCUUCAGGGCAGUCGCCGGUCAGCACUAGAGCCAAAGAGGAAAGCUUAAUGCUAGUGUGCGGACACAGCGAUGUUGGGGAAGCGAGGUUGUGCAAGCCUCUGACAAAGCUCGGGAAAGGUUAGAGCUCCUAACCCUGUGUCUCCUAUGCUCCUCCCUCCUAUCUCCAGGAAAUCUGCCCCGGGAGAUGGUACUUCUGACCCACCUCCUGGAAGUCACUUUCAUCACAGCAAGUAAGGGGAAAUGACUCUGGUAACACUUCACACUUGCCAAAGGAAAAUAAAGGAGGCUGAUGCUUGCUGUCUGAAGGUUUUGAAAGCAUGUAGUUAUUGCAGCAGGGCGCUCUGGUCGUGGAGAUGAAAUUCUAGCUAGAGUACUUGGGUUUUCAUCUCCUAAAUUAGCCCCUGGCACUUUCCUGGUGAGCCCUGUUCAUCGCGCCCAGCUGGGCUGCGGUGCUGCAGGAUGUUUCUGACACUGCCUUCACUGAGCUCUUGGAGCUUAAAAGAACUGAAUUGCAGUAACGACUAAAUUAUUUUCCCUGGGUUGUAAAAUACGUAGCACAGGAAGAGAGAGACCUGAAGUGGCUGAAAUACUCCAGACCAUUGUUUUUCAGCUGCUUCAUCUCUCUGCAGUGGUAUUUUUGAACUAUAGAAGUGAUUAACUCCAGCAGCCUGCAUUCUCUCAAUACAACAGCUUCUGGUUAUGGGACCAGCCAGAGGCAUUUGCUAAGCGUGCAGCUGCCACCUACCUGGCUUUGAUAUCUAAGUGGUGACCUGAAAACCCAUCAGCAAGACCUCAAGUACAGAAAAAGCUGAGAGAAAAAAGAAGUGUUGGAUUCUGUGUUUAAGAAAGUGUUGGGAAAGGUGAAGAACACAAAAGCAAAUACAUCCCAAAACCUCCCUACUACUGUUUGUUAAUACUUGCUCUGCUCCUAUUGUUCUGGUCUGUAAUUACUGCAGCAAAUAAUUACAUGUGCCAAUCAUCAUUUUCUUACUGCUUCCAGCCAGGACACCUACACAUAUUGAUGUCCUCCAUGCUCUUCACAAUGUAUCUGGCAACCUCAGCUGGUUUUUGUUUCUUGUCCCGGAUCCAUCUUUGCUGCCUGAGCUUGUGCUCUCUCACACGGGCAUAAAUAGGCUUCUGCUGCUGCCAGAAUUCACCGCGCGUGUCCAGGUAGGAAAUGCCACUCAGAACCAGGUCUGCUACUUUGGUCCCCUGCUUUGUGCUGCUCGCCAUCAGAUCUGAAAAGAAGGUGGUAGAACCCAGGUGAGCAUCAGUGUAUGCAGCGGGUGGAGCUGCAGUUCAGUGGGGGAUGCUUGUGAAUGGUUUUCUGCUCUGAUAGAUAGUCCUAGAAAUUAGGGUCUUCAGUGCUCCUCAGAACGGAUGCAGGUAGGGGGGAAGUUGUGGAAACCCCCCUUGCUGUGAGCCAUUCUGUGAGUAGACUAAAUUCUUAAUUACUUCGCUAUUACUGGGUAAAGAGUUCCCUAGAAAAACGACUAAAGGGGAAUCACCUUUCUGCCUAGUUCUACAAUAAGAUACUUCUGAAUCCUGCCUCUCGAUCCUAACAGCAUUUAUAAAGAAACCACAAACGAGUUAGUCUUGUCAGCAAUGCUUUGCACUUAGUGCAAGUGUUAGUGGAAUUUAUUGUUAUGACAGAAGUUAAGUAAUUUUUAAUGAUACUGUUUCUGCUUUUGAUUUCAUCAGCACAGAUUGCGUUGAGUUGAUUUAUUGUUCGUUAUAAAAGCCUGCCAUUUAAUUGGGAAGGAAAUACGCUCAUAGUUAUGGAUAUUAGAUCUGGCUGCAGAAAUACCUGUAGUCUCCAGACACCUGCCUCUCUCAUGACCCCUGCAAGCACUCUGCUGUGUGAGCUCUGCUAUAAAUAAGGAAGAGCAGUCAUAGGAAUAUGAAAAAAAGAAUAAAAAAAAAAGAACCUGCUUAGAAGGGACAUUUAGAUAAAUACAAUGGAGAAAGACCUUUGUCCUUGAGCAGCUUUUCUAGGUAGGCCUUGUCAGCAUAAAGUUCUCCAAGAAGCUCUCGCUCUGUUUUUGGAUUCCUCGCAGGCCCCUCUUUCCUUGUCCAUUUUUGAUCCUUAGUCAGUUUGAUUUGGAGUUUCUGAUUUUCUUUUUUGCUCUACAGCGAGAAAAAAAUAAAAGAAGUUGGGGGAGAUUAGUGGGGAACACUAGAAUUAGCAGAAUUCUGUUUACACUCCAGAUAAGCCAACUUAUUUUUUAAAUAAAAGCAAAAAGUCAGCAUCUCACCAGUUGCUGUGGUCAUGAGCAACUGGUGUUUUGCACCCAAUUGUGCUCCCUCACUUCCAAGAGCAGGAGGGGACAUUACAGUAAGAGCAAGGAUUAGUUCUGCCCCCAUGUCUUGUACGGUUCUGGAGGGCUUCCUGUUCAGUGCUGGGGGAGGACACGAAGGCUGGGGGAAAGGCAGAUCUGGCUGACCACAGUCAAAGAGACGGAGGCUGUAACAGCCAGGACUUUGGAAGUGUCAGGAGGGUGUUUCUAACGUUUCACAUCCAAAAUCCCAACAAUUGCAAUGCUAACCUUUAGGCACCUUUGUAUCAAUUACUUUUACCACUGAGUACCUGUAAUUCCAGCUGAAAGAAGCAAUGAGCGUUCCCUGCACUGACUUCAAGGGGAAAUGUGGCUUGGCAUCUCGGAGGAGCAAGGCACUACUUCAGUGGAGCACCCCAAAAUGAAGCAAUUGAGAAAGUGUCCAUUGUCAAAAAUGCAACCCUUAAACGUCAGGGGGCUCCCAUCUCGGUGCAGAUUUCCUACAGACGUGCUACAUCCCACACGGGAACAGAGGAGGAAAAAGGAUGGCAGGUUCCCCUGAGGGAUCACAGCUGAAGCUUAAAAUGGUAGGAGAGCUCAUAAGCACCAGGAUCUCCAGCAAUCCAGGGAACUAUUUUCAAGUGUUUGUGCACUGACAUUAGGGCAAAACUCCCACUUAAUUUUCACUCUGACAUCCAGUUCUGCUACUCGGAUUGUACUCCGGAGCAGAGGUAAGAGUGAAAACCAGCUUUUUGUUUUGGCCUGGUCAGAAGGAAGGAAAGAGCUUUGCGUGCUGCUGUAAGAAGGAUUUCCUUCAGGUAGGUAACGGGGCCAAGAUCAGCGAUGCGAGCACAGGCGCAGCACGGAAGGCAGGUGUUUCUGAAUCUGCCAGGCGAAGCAGAUUCCGUAAAGCUGUUUUUGGGAUGUGCCCUGUCAAUGUGUGUGCAUUUCCCGGCUACUUCAACAUCUAGAUCAAAUGCUGGCAAGUUUCCUUGCUUCUCCCCUGCAUCUAGGAGCUAUUGUUUGAUUAAAAAAAGUCUUCUGGGUUUUUAAUCUGCUCAUUUGCUUACAGCCCAGAUGCUUGAAGGCAUUUUAAAGCCCUUAGCUCAGUACAUCAAGCGUGGCAAGCGUUUCAGAUGAGAGUUGCAGAUAUCUAGGUAUUUGUAUCAAGCUAAGAAAGCGGCGGUAACGGAGGAAAGCAAGCCAGAUCUGGAAACUUUCCCUGGUUUUGUUUAAAUAAACACCACCUAUGAAAGAGCUUCAGGCUCUUACACAGCCGGGACAUGAAGUUAAUCCGUGGCACUGGAGGUGGACCGAAAUUUUGAAACUGCUGUCAGGGGGAGCGAGGCAGGUACGUAUCUCCGGGAUCGGGGCCUGUGCGUAGGGGUGUGCGGCAGGGUGUGUGAAGGGACAGGCCCCGGGGAUCCACCUGAGCAGCCUCUAACCAGCUGGGCAGGUUCUGCAGCAGCCUGCUGAGCUAGCGCAGGCCGCUCUGUGCACGUGUGGAGGUGGCGGCCGCAGCUGAGGUGUGUCCGUCUGCCUGGGAGGGGGAGCACGUCCUGUCCAUGCUUGUCUGCGUACGGGGGCGUUGCUAAGAGAAACACCGAGGGAAGAGGGACAAGUUUUCCGUUUGCUUUGGACAUCACUGGGUCCUUGGCCUUUCCCGCCUCCUGCAGGACCCCGUUCUAUGAUCUAAGCCAGGAAUUAUGAAAGCAGCGCUCCAUUGCAAUAGUCAACAGUUUCACUGCUCUUAUGCAAUGUUAAUUGGAGAGAAGUCAGGACCUCGGGAAGGCCAGUCUCAGGUAGCACGGCAAAUUUCAUUAUGAACUUCGAAUGUUAGGAUAAGGAGCUCAAAACGGAUUCUGUAAUCGGUAGGGCUGUAAGUAGAUGAGCUGCUCUGUUCUGUGUUACCUAGGACAUUUUCACGGUGACUUUGGAAAUUUAAGUCAGUAUCAUAAUUUACUUACAUAACUGAAGUUAUUAGACACUGUAUAUGAAUUGGCAUUCAGCCAAAAAAAGAAGAAAACCAGAACCGGGCUGUGCUCUUUUUGGUGCCUCCUGGUUCCAUCUGAGAACGGCCACUGAGCACAUGAAUCCAGAAGCAAAGAGACCCUUGUUGCAAGGUCCUUGGUGCACUUGCUGAGCUCAUCUGCCAUCAGCUGUCCACCGAACAGCUUCUGGCUGUGCUUGUAGGGGCCGUGAAAUGAAACAUCUUACUUCCA